rnacentral:rRNA from 1 species
GUUAUAUGGUCAAGCGAAUAAGCGCACACGGUGGAUGCCUAGGCGGUCAGAGGCGAUGAAGGACGUGGUAGCCUGCGAAAAGUGUCGGGGAGCUGGCAACAAGCUUUGAUCCGGCAAUGUCCGAAUGGGGAAACCCACUGCUUCGGCAGUAUCCUGCAGUGAAUUCAUAGCUGCUGGAAGCGAACCCGGUGAACUGAAAUAUCUAAGUAACCGGAGGAAAAGAAAUCAACCGAGAUUCCCUAAGUAGUGACGAGCGAACGGGGAGCAGCCCUUAAGCUGGAAUGGCUUUAGAAAAACAAUCUGGAAAGAUUGGCCAUAGAAGGUGAUAGCCCUGUAUUUAAAAGGGCCACUCCAGUGAAGACGAGUAGGGCGGGGCACGUGAAACCCUGUCUGAAUAUGGGGGGACCAUCCUCCAAGGCUAAAUACUCCUGACCGACCGAUAGUGAACCAGUACCGUGAGGGAAAGGCGAAAAGAACCCCGGAGAGGGGAGUGAAAUAGAUCCUGAAACCGUGUGCGUACAAGCAGUAGGAGCUCGCAAGAGUGACUGCGUACCUUUUGUAUAAUGGGUCAGCGACUUACUGUUCGUGGCAAGCUUAACCGUAUAGGGGAGGCGAAGGGAAACCGAGUCUGAUAAGGGCGCAUAGUCGCGGGCAGUAGACCCGAAACCGGGUGAUCUAGUCAUGGCCAGGGUGAAGGUGCCGUAACAGGUACUGGAGGCCCGAACCCACGUCUGUUGCAAAAGACGGGGAUGAGCUGUGAUUAGGAGUGAAAAGCUAAUCGAACCCGGAGAUAGCUGGUUCUCCUCGAAAGCUAUUUAGGUAGCGCCUCGGACGAAUACUGCUGGGGGUAGAGCACUGUUAUGGCUAGGGGGUCAUCGCGACUUACCAAACCAUUGCAAACUCCGAAUACCAGUACGUACUAUCCGGGAGACACACGGCGGGUGCUAACGUCCGUCGUGAAAAGGGAAACAACCCAGACCCACAGCUAAGGUCCCAAAUUCACUGCUAAGUGGAAAACGAUGUGGAAAGGCAUAGACAGCCAGGAGGUUGGCUUAGAAGCAGCCACCCUUUAAAGAAAGCGUAAUAGCUCACUGGUCGAGUCGGUCUGCGCGGAAGAUUUAACGGGGCUAAGCAGUGAACCGAAGCUUGGGGUGCAUAAAACUUGUUUUAUGCGCGGUAGAGGAGCGUUCCGUAAGCCUGCGAAGGUGGAUUGAGAAGUCUGCUGGAGGUAUCGGAAGUGCGAAUGCUGACAUGAGUAACGAUAAUGCGGGUGAAAAGCCCGCACGCCGAAAGCCCAAGGUUUCCUUGCGCAACGUUAAUCGACGCAGGGUUAGUCGGUCCCUAAGGCGAGGGCGAAAGCCGUAGUCGAUGGGAAGCAGGUUAAUAUUCCUGCACCUCGCGUGAGUGCGAUGGAGGGACGGAGAAGGUUAGGUGUACCGGGCGUUGGUUGUCCCGGGGAAAGGCGGUAGGUUUGGAUCUUUGGCAAAUCCGGGAUCCUUUAAGACCGAGCACCGAGACGAGCCUUUAUGGCGAAGUCACUGAUACCACGCUUCCAGGAAAAGCUCCUAAGCUUCAGCUCACGAAGACCGUACCGUAAACCGACACAGGUGGGUAGGAUGAGAAUUCUCAGGCGCUUGAGAGAACUCGGGUGAAGGAACUAGGCAACAUGGCACCGUAACUUCGGGAGAAGGUGCACCCUUUUUGGUGGCUCAUGCGAGCUAUAGCUGAAGAGGGUCGCAGAAACCAGGCCGCUGCGACUGUUUAUCAAAAAACACAGCACUCUGCAAACACGAAAGUGGACGUAUAGGGUGUGACGCCUGCCCGGUGCUGGAAGGUUAAUUGAUGGGGUCAGCCGCAAGGCGAAGCUCUUGAUCGAAGCCCCAGUAAACGGCGGCCGUAACUAUAACGGUCCUAAGGUAGCGAAAUUCCUUGUCGGGUAAGUUCCGACCUGCACGAAUGGCGUAACGACAGCGGCGCUGUCUCCACCCGAGACUCAGUGAAAUUGAAAUCGCUGUGAAGAUGCAGCGUUCCCGUGGCAAGACGGAAAGACCCCGUGAACCUUUACUAUAGCUUUACACUGAACGUUGAGUUCGUCUGUGUAGGAUAGGUGGGAGGCUAUGAAACUGUGGCGCUAGCUGCAGUGGAGCCAUCCUUGAAAUACCACCCUGUCGUGCUUGACGUUCUAACCUAGAUCCGUUAUCCGGAUCAGGGACCGUGUAUGGUGGGUAGUUUGACUGGGGCGGUCUCCUCCUAAAGAGUAACGGAGGAGCACGAAGGUACGCUCAGCGCGGUCGGACAUCGCGCACUGUGUGCAAAGGCAUAAGCGUGCUUGACUGCAAGAUCGACGGAUCAAGCAGGUACGAAAGUAGGUCUUAGUGAUCCGGUGGUUCUGUAUGGAAGGGCCAUCGCUCAACGGAUAAAAGGUACUCCGGGGAUAACAGGCUGAUACCGCCCAAGAGUUCAUAUCGACGGCGGUGUUUGGCACCUCGAUGUCGGCUCAUCACAUCCUGGGGCUGUAGUCGGUCCCAAGGGUAUGGCUGUUCGCCAUUUAAAGUGGUACGCGAGCUGGGUUCAGAACGUCGUGAGACAGUUCGGUCCCUAUCUGCCAUGGGCGUUGGAAGUUUGAGAGGGGCUGCUCCUAGUACGAGAGGACCGGAGUGGACGAACCUCUGGUGUUCCGGUUGUCACGCCAGUGGCAUUGCCGGGUAGCUAUGUUCGGAAGCGAUAACCGCUGAAAGCAUCUAAGCGGGAAGCGCGCCUCAAGAUGAGACUUCCCGGGGCACAAGCCCCCUAAAGGAACCAUAUAGACUAUGUGGUUGAUAGGUCAGGUGUGUAAGUACAGCAAUGUAUUGAGCUAACUGAUACUAAUGAUCCGUGCGGCUUGACCAUAUAACCU